rnacentral:lncRNA from 1 species
UAUAGAAGUAGACAUCAAUUUGGCCAUAAGUAUAAACACCCUAUUCAAAUUUGAAAUAUGAUUGGUGGAUUAUUUCUAAAAGUUAUUGCCCUUAAUCAAUAAGAACCAUAAGGUCCGAGUACACAGUUAUCGUCCCUUGAUUUUCGUUGUCCACGAAUAUAGUCCCUAGUGUGGACAGUGUGUUACUUGUCAAUUUUUUUUAUACCCCUUCCAAAUUUAUCUAUUUAUGUUUUAUGCCUCAAGUAGCAAGAAGGGGGAUAAAAUUACACUGUAAAAAAAUUUGAUUCAUGAAUUAUAAUGUAAAGUAGUGAUUUGGUCCAGUUGAAAAAGGUCAAAAAUUAGCAUUUCGGAAGCUGUCAAAAGAUUUCAAGACCCCCUUCACAUAAAAUUGUCCAUAUUUUGAGUUAGAGCUGAUGAAGUUUUCUAUAAUUUUGAUAUAAUUUGUCCCAAAAGUAGUACAACACACUGUAAAAAUAUUAUGGAGAAAGCGCAGGUGGGAUUUUUUUUAUUUCCAUUUAUUGUCUAAAGGAAAUGCACUACGAAAUAACUGUGUACUCGGACCAUAACUCCUGAACGACAAAGUGAAAAUUAUCAAUAUCAAAACUGAUCUCAUUUUGUCAUCGGUAACAACAUACUUACAUGUUAAAAAGCAUUUGUUGAACUGUUCAAUUAAGUAAUUACAUGGAACAAUAUAAAGUGCAUUUUUUCCAAUCAAGGACUAUAUAAAUUCCUGAACAGCAAAAGUGAAAAUUGAACUUGACCUCAAUUUUGUCAUUAGUAAUACACUAUAUCAAAAUUUGAAUUGUUCAUAAUUUAUUGCAAUGAAUCAAUUGCAACCUAAAGCCAACUGACCUCCGGCACGCCUGUUGCUGAUGAGUUCUAAAAUUCUAUUAGAAAAACCCA